rnacentral:tRNA from 1 species
UGGGGCGUGGCCAAGUGGUAAGGCAGCGGGUUUUGGUUCCGCCAUUCAGAGGUUCGAAUCCUUUCGCCCCAG